rnacentral:snRNA from 1 species
GUGCUCACUAUGACAGCACAUAAACUAAAUCUGGAACAUUAUAGAGCGAAUUAGCAUGGCCCCAUGUAAGGAUGACAUGAAAAUCCAUGAAGCAUUUCACAUUCUU